rnacentral:rRNA from 1 species
CCUACGGGGGGCAGCAGUGAGGAAUAUUGGUCAAUGGGCGGGAGACUGAACCAGCCAAGUAGCGUGAAGGAUGACUGCCCUACGGGUUGUAAACUUCUUUUGUAAAGGAAUAAAGUGAGGCACGUGUGCCUUUUUGUGUGUACUUUAUGAAUAAGGAUCGGCUAACUCCGUGCCAGCAGCCGCGGUAAUACGGAGGAUCCGAGCGUUAUCCGGAUUUAUUGGGUUUAAAGGGAGCGUAGAUGGGUUGUUAAGUCAGUUGUGAAAGUUUGCGGCUCAACCGUAAAAUUGCGAUUGAUACUGGCAGUCUUGAGUACAGUGGAGGUAGGCGGAAUGCGUGGUGUAGCGGUGAAAUGCUUAGAUAUCACGAAGAACUCCGAUUGCGAAGGCAGCUUACUAACCUGCAACUGACAUUGAUGCUCGAAAGUGUGGGUAUCAAACAGGAUUAGAUACCCGAGUAGUC